rnacentral:rRNA from 1 species
GGAUCAUUAUAGAGUUAUUACAACUCCAAAACCCAUGUGAACAUACCUAUCGUUGCCUUGGCAGGCCGUGUUACCCUGUAGCAACCUACCCUGUAGGACCUACCCUGUAGGACUUACCCGGUAGGAACCUACCCGGUAGCACACACCAGGCCUGUCGAAGGACCACAAACUCUUGUUUUUAUUUUGCACUCUGAGUCUUUAUACAAAUAAGUUAAAACUUUCAACAACGGAUCUCUUGGUUCUGGCAUCGAUGAAGAACGCAGCGAAAUGCGAUAAGUAAUGUGAAUUGCAGAAUUCAGUGAAUCAUCGAAUCUUUGAACGCACAUUGCGCCCAUUAGUAUUCUAGUGGGCAUGCCUGUUCGAGCGUCAUUUCAACCAUUAAGCCUCAGUUGCUUAGCGUUGGGAGCUUACGCCUGUAACUCCUUAAAGAUAGUGGCGGAGUUGGGUCAGACUCUAAGUGUAGUAAUUCUUUCUCGCUUCUGCAGCUGGUCCGGCCCCUGCCGUAAAACCUACCCUAUAUUUACUGGUUGACCUCGGAUCAGGUAGGAAUACCCGCUGAACUUAAGCAUAUCAAUAAGCGGAGGAAAAGAAACCAACAGGGAUUGCCUCAGUAACGGCGAGUGAAGCGGCAACAGCUCAAAUUUGAAAUCUGGCCUUCUAGGUCCGAGUUGUAAUUUGUAGAGGAUGCUUUUGGCGCGGUGCCUUCCGAGUUCCCUGGAACGGGACGCCUUAGAGGGUGAGAGCCCCGUACGGUUGGACACCAAGCCUCUGUAAAGCUCCUUCGACGAGUCGAGUAGUUUGGGAAUGCUGCUCUAAAUGGGAGGUAAAUUUCUUCUAAAGCUAAAUACCGGCCAGAGACCGAUAGCGCACAAGUAGAGUGAUCGAAAGAUGAAAAGCACUUUGAAAAGAGGGUUAAAUAGCACGUGAAAUUGUUGAAAGGGAAGCGUUUACGACCAGACCUUUUCGCGGCGGAUCAUCCGGCGUUCUCGCCGGUGCACUUCGCCGUGUUUAGGCCAGCAUCGGUUUUCGUAGUGGGAUAAAAGCAAGGGGAAAGUAGCUCUCUUCGGGGAGUGUUAUAGCCCCUUGCAUAAUACCUCUACGGGGACCGAGGACCGCGCU